rnacentral:rRNA from 1 species
UACCCGCAGCUCAAGUGGUGGUCAUUAUUAUUGGGCCUAAAGCGUCCGUAGCUGGCCUGUUAGAUGCCUGGGGUAAAUCGAUGCGCUCAACGUAUCGAACUCCGGGUAGACCGGCAGGCUCGAGACCGGGGAGAGGUGUAGGCUACUCGCGGGGGUAGGGGUAAAAUCCUGUAAUCCUGCGGGGGAGGACCAGUGGCGAAGGCGCUACACUAGAACGGCUCUGACAGUGAGGG